rnacentral:rRNA from 1 species
UACGUAGGGUGCAAGCGUUGUCCGGAAUUAUUGGGCGUAAAGAGCUCGUAGGCGGUCUGUCGCGUCUGCUGUGAAAACUCAGGGCUUAACCCUGAGCUUGCAGUGGGGUACGGGCAGACUAGAGUGCGGUAGGGGAGACUGGAAUUCCUGGUGUAGCGGUGAAAUGCGCAGAUAUCAGGAGGAACACCGGUGGGCGAAGGCGGGUCUCUGGGCCGUAACUGACGCU